UACGUAGGUCCCGAGCGUUGUCCGGAUUUAUUGGGCGUAAAGCGAGCGCAGGUGGUUUAUUAAGUCUGGUGUAAAAGGCAGUGGCUCAACCAUUGUAUGCAUUGGAAACUGGUAGACUUGAGUGCAGGAGAGGAGAGUGGAAUUCCAUGUGUAGCGGUGAAAUGCGUAGAUAUCUGGAGGAACACCGGUGGCGAAGGCGGCAUCCUGGACCGGUAUUGACGCUGAGGCGCGAAAGCCAGGGGAGCAAACGGG
rnacentral:rRNA from 1 species